rfam:Arabis alpina cultivar Pajares chromosome 8, whole genome shotgun sequence.
AAAAGGCGAGAAUGAUGAAUCAAAUUAGAUGUGUGAAUUAGGGGUAAUUUCCUAAUUAUGAGCUCAAAACUUUUUGAGGCAUUUUCAAUUUUCUGACUUCGCCGAUU